GCCCGCCUAGCUCAAUCGGAUAGAGCGUCAGACUCUUACGGCGUGGUGACAUGCGUACUUCCGCAAUCUGAAGGCUGCGAGUUCGACCCUCGCGGUGGGCU